UGAAUGGCGAAGCCGCGAAAAGCUCAUUACAACAGCCAUAGUUUAUUGGAUCUUUCCUUCUUACACGGAUACCUGCGGUAAUUCUGGAGCUACUACGUGCACUAAACGACAACCUUACGGAAGUCGUGCAUUUGUUAGUUUAAACCAAUCGGUCUUCGGACCGUCAUUUGGUGACUCUGAAUAAUUCCGCUGAUCGCACUGUCUCGUACAGGCGACAAAUCCUUCAAGCGUCUGACUUAUCAACUUUCGAUGGUAGUUUAUACGACUACCAUGGUUGUAACGGGUAACGGAGAAUAAGGGUUCGACUCCGGAGAGGGAGCCUGAGAAACGGCUACCACAUCCAAGGAAGGCAGCAGGCGCGCAAAUUACCCACUCUCAGUUCGAGGAGGUAGUGACGAAAAAUAACGAGUCGGCUCUCUACGAGGUCCGACAUCGGAAUGAAUACAAUUUAAAUCCUUUAAUGAGGAUCUAUUGGAGGGCAAGUCUGGUGCCAGCAGCCGCGGUAAUUCCAGCUCCAAUAGCGUAUAUUAAAAUUGUUGCGGUUAAAAAGCUCGUAGUUGGAUCUACGUCUGGUGAAAGUGGUCGCCCGAUGGGUUGUUACUGCUUCUCCCGGACUAAUCAUUCGGUUUUCCCUUGAUGCUCUUCACUGAGUGUCCUGGGUGACCGGAACUUUUACUUUGAAAAAAUUAGAGUGUUCAAAGCGGGCUUAACGCCUGAAUAGUCAUGCAUGGAAUAAUGAAAAAGGUCUUCGGGGCCUUUUGUUGGUUAUCGCCUCGAGGAAAUGAUUAAUUGGAAUAACCGUGGACAUUUGUAUUGUGGCGCUAGAGGUGAAAUUCUUGGACCGCCGCAAGACAAACUACUGCGAAAGCAUUUGUCAAGAGUGUUUUCAUCAAUCAAGAACGAAAGUCUGAGGUUCGACAGCGAUCAGAUACCGCUUUAGUUCAGACCGUAAACUAUGCCAUCUGGCGAUCCAUGGGCGUUACGUAUGACUCCAUGGGCAGCCACCGGGAAACCUUUAAGUUGGGUUCCGGGGGAAGUAUGGUUGCAAAGCUGAAACUUAAAGGAAUUGACGGAAGGGCACCACCAGG
rnacentral:rRNA from 1 species